GGUCCGCAGAUACUGAUUCUGAUGACUCGAGGUAUCAUAGCGGACGAUGCGUAAGGCUCGCAGAUCCGAGAGACGCGCAUAGUGUGUGUACGCUACAGCAUAUGUAGCGCUAGAGUGUCGCACCUGANUAGACCGUCAGCUCUACGAGCAGCAGUGNAUUGCGCAUGGGGGAACCUGAGCAGCACGCGGUGAGUGAUGAGCCUUCGGUCGUAAGCUCUUUAGUGGAAAGAAUGCAUCGUGCUAAUUCACCGUGCUGACGGUACCCACAGAAAAAGUUCCGGCUAACUCCGUGCCAGCAGCCGCGGUAAUACGGAGGGAGCGAGCGUUGUUCGGAAUCAUUGGGCGUAAAGCGCGCGUAGGCGGUCGGGUAAGUCAGACGUGAAAGCCCGUGGCUUAACCAUGGAAUUGCGUUUGAUACUGCUCGGCUAGAGUUCAGGAGAGGUGGGCGGAAUUCCCAGUGUAGAGGUGAAAUUCGUAGAUACUGGGAGGAACACCUGUGGCGAAGGCGGCUCACUGGACUGAUACUGACGCUGAGGCGCGAAAGCGUGGGGAGCAAACGGGAUUAGAUACCCCGGUAGUCCACGCUGUAAACGAUGGACACUAGGUGUAGGAGGUAUCGACCCCUCCUGUGCCGCAGCUAACGCAUUAAGUGUCCCGCCUGGGGAUUACGGCCGCAAGGCUAGAACUCAAAGGAAUUGACGGGGGCCCGCACAAGCGGUGGAGCAUGUGGUUUAAUUCGACGCAACGCGAAGAACCUUACCUGGGCUUGACAUCCCGCGCUACCCGAUGAAAGUCGGGGUUCGGUUCGCCGACGCGGAGACAGGUGCUGCAUGGCUGUCGUCAGCUCGUGUCGUGAGAUGUUGGGUUAAGUCC
rnacentral:rRNA from 1 species